AUUGAACGCCGGCGGCAUGCCCUACACAUGCAAGUCGAACGGCAGCGGGGGAGAAGCUUGCUUUUCCUGCCGGCGAGUGGCGAACGGGUGAGUAAUACAUCGGAACGUGCCCUGUAGUGGGGGAUAACUAGUCGAAAGAUUAGCUAAUACCGCAUACGACCUGAGGGUGAAAGUGGGGGACCGCAAGGCCUCAUGCUAUAGGAGCGGCCGAUGUCUGAUUAGCUAGGUGGUGGGUGAAAGGCCUACCAAGGCGACGAUCAGUAGCUGGUCUGAGAGGAAGAUCAGCCACACUGGGACUGAGACACGGCCCAGACUCCUACGGGAGGCAGCAGUGGGGAAUGUUGGACAAUGGGCGAAAGCCUGAUCCAGCAAUGCCGCGUGUGUGAAGAAGGACUUCGGGUUGUAAAGCACUUUUGUCCGGAAAGAAAUGGCUCUGGUUAAUACCUGAGGUCGAUGACGGUACCGGAAGAAUAAGGACCGGCUAACUACGUGCCAGCCGCCGCCGUAA
rnacentral:rRNA from 1 species